rnacentral:rRNA from 1 species
UUCUCGGUGCCCAAGGUUAAUAGGUCCCACGUCAAUCCAUCUCGAACUUGACAGUGAAACUAUUAAUGAGAGUGCAAAGCUGCAAGGGGGGCCUUGUGGAUUUUCUCUCUUGGUGCCGGGAA